GUCUGUCUGUCUGUCUGUCUGUCUCUCUCUCUCUCUCUCUCUCUCUCUCUCUCUCUAUCUCUAUCUCGCAGCUCCUGUUGCUCAUCAACAUGGAGGAGCACAUCUGUGAUUCUAGGUCCUGACAUUAAAUUGCAUUUCCAAUUUCCUUUAACAAUAUUUUCAACAAAUGCUGGUCACAGCAUGCAGCAGUAAUGGAAUUCAAAUGAUGGUGAACCUUAUAUUUCUAUGGAUGCCCUCGAGAAUUCAAAGGUUUCAACAUGAGCAAUGCCUCAUUUUGUCAAACAAUAACAUUCACUUUAAAAAAAGCUCUUUGGUUAAAGUUCUUUUCUCAUGCUCUCGCUAAACAUAUCUGGGAUAUUUUGAACAUUUGAUUCAGCAUACUUGUGAUACCAGAGUGAGAGGAAAUGAAUAAACCUCUUCAGUUUCUUCUUGCAAUAUUAACUACAUAUGUGCACAUUUUGAUUAAUGGUUUAGACAGGGAGAUUUUGUGCUUAAUUAACUGAUGAACUGCAGCCUUGCCCUCAGGAUCACGAAAUGCAACCUCCCAAAAUAUUGGCCCACUCAACCAUAUUUAAAUUCUUACUUUUGUAUCCAGUUUCAUAAGACUGAAAACAUCUGUUAUGAGUGGGCUAUAGUAGAUCUUCCUGUAUUUUUCAAAUGGCAUGAAGCCAGUGAGAUGCAUAAGAUUAAUAUGGCUGUAACAUACUUGAUGCAGAUUUUUAAUCUAUUUAUUAUAGGUAUAUAUUACGUACUGUGCAAAGUAUCUAAAAUUACAAAGCACCUUUAAAAAAAUCUGUUAAAAAUCACUAUAAGUUGAGUGUGGCCCCUAAGAUUGAAGUCCAAAUGCCAGAAUGAUGGAGGUGCUUCUAUUAUGUAGAAAAUUAAAUCUAAAAGACCACCAAAAUAAUGGAAAGGACCUCAAAAAGCUACACAAAAACAGGUUCAAGUUGCUAAAUUGCCAUGGCAACAGACAGCUUAAAUGUAGCAUGAGGGUAACAGAGAGCACAUACACAUUCAUACACUGUAUGAUUGAGCCAAAGGGACUUUAACAGCCUGAAUAGCUUGGAGGAACCUGCAGUCAGAAAACACAGAGCAGACUCACCUUGAACUGAAAGCCUCUUGCCUUCCAUGAUCGGGCCCCCCCACCACCCCCCAUGUGUGCCGUCCUAUUUGUUCUGGCCUGAUAGCAAGAGUGGCAUCACAAAACAGGGCUCCACCAGUUAGAGUCUUCCAAAUUAAGAGACAAAGCCUUUUCUGAUGCCCUUAUCAGCUGGACAACAUCGCAAGUAGAAAAGUAAAGGGUCCCUCACCUGUCUCCCAUAUCUGACAACCAUUUAAAGGAACACCGAACAUUUUAGGGCCUUUCUUCUGUCUCUCUCUUUCUUUCUGUGUGUGUGGGCACGUACACGUGUGCAUACAUACAUGGACCAGACAGGAACAUGGUCAUUAUCCGUAGGGGAACUAAGAUGAGAUAGCACUGAAGCAUGAUGAGUGGGAGGUGUAUGAUGCUGGCGUGCCACUUCAAUUCCUCUGGCUCUGCAGAUAACAUCGGCCCUGAAGGCAAAGUCUUGACACUGGAUGUCUCUGAGUCACGGGGCAGAAGGCCGCAGUGAGAUGAGAUCUCUACUUCCUCACUGUCUCACACACACACACACGUACACGCGCACACAUACACAAACACACACAUACAUAUGAAUCAUGAAGCAAGGAAAUCCUGGGGUUUGAUAGUAGUCUUGUUUGUUUGUUUUUUUGUUUGUUUGUGAAGCUUGCAUUGUUAUCUCCACACUUCUCAUUUAGUACGUCAAUCCUGAAAAACACUACUUAUCCUUCUAAUCAUUUUGUCUGAGAUUUAAUGACAAGUGGUAUUUUAUUUUGAUUAGAUUUGAACCUAUCUUUAAUAAACACUGAUGCAUUUCCAGAUACAGUGCAUCUUUAUUGUAAAAAAACACAAGUAAAAAGCCAACUCUCUAUUCAGAGCACUUGAACAGCUUCUUGAUGACCAUGUCACACAGAAAAGAAAGGGCACGUGUUUCUUGGUUUGGUUUCUGCGCUCUCUAAAAGUCACAUUUCACAAACCCAUUAAAGA